rnacentral:tRNA from 1 species
GUAGGUUUCACCGAAAGGAUUUAUCUUGAUAGGGUAAAAUUUAAUAAACCUAUG